rnacentral:lncRNA from 1 species
AGGCGAACGAGGCUGCUCAAAAAGCGAAGGAGACAAAGGACAGCGCGGCUCAGAAGGCAAAGGAGGCGAAGGAUGCAACAAUGGGGAAAGCAGGCGAGUAUACAAACUAUGCAGCUGAGAAGGCAAAGGAGGCGAAGGACACAACUGUGAACAAAGCUGGCGAGUACACCAACUACACCGCCGAGAAGGCGAAGGAGGCCAAGGACACAACAUUGAACAAGGCGAAGGAGGCGAAGGACACAACGAUGAACAAAGCCGGCGAGUACACCAACUACGCCGCCGAGAAGGCGAAGCAGGCCAAGGACACUACGGUCAACAAAGCUGGUGAAUAUACCAACUAUGCGGCUGAGAAGGCCAAGGAGGCUAAGGAUGAGACGGUCAAGACAGCAA